rnacentral:rRNA from 1 species
CACCGCCCGUCACACCAUGGAAGUUGAUUGCACCAGAAGUAGUUAGCCUAACCGCAAGGAGGGCGACUACCACGGUGAGAUUCAUGACUGGGGUGAAGUCGUAACAAGGUACCC